GACGAACGCUGGCGGCGUGCCUAAUACAUGCAAGUCGAACGCAGUGGGGACGGGUGAGUAACACGUGGGUAACCUCCCAUCAGAGGGGAUAACACUUGGAAACAGGUGCUAAACCGAUAUUGGUGGAUGGACACGCGGUGCAUUAGCUAGUUGGUGAGGUAACGGCUCACCAAGGCAACGAUGCAUAGCCGACCUUAGAGGGGUAUCGGGCACACUGGGACGGAGACACGGUCCAGACUCCUACGGGAGGCAGCAGUAGGGAAGCUUUGGCAAUGGGAGGAAGUCUGACCGAUGAACGCCGCGGUAGAGAAGAAGGUCGUGGGAUUGUAAAACUCGUUUGUUUGGGAAGCGGUAUCCAGCCAGAAAGGCACGGCUAACGACGUGCCAGCAGCCGCGGUAAUUC
rnacentral:rRNA from 1 species